ensembl:lincRNA Gm37041 predicted gene, 37041
UGCGUUUGUUCGGGCCUUCUCUCUGAAAUCUCUAUCAGUGCUUCUAAAUGGCAUAGGCGUGGGCAUCGGUGAUGGCUCAGUAGAUCUAAACCUGUCGGAAAAUCUGAGCAAUUGGAAAAUGUUUGUGCUCGCUCACCUCCUGACAAAGGAAACAAUAACUAACACAGUGGGAAGCUGCAGCUAUCUUCUGACACAUUAUGUUUCUAGCCCCAAAAUGUCACCUGCAACCCACAGAAGGGAGAUGAAUGAAAACCAGCAGUGGCCCUGAAACACACCAAAGGAGAAAAAAAAAAUCCAGCUGUAAAAUCGACUGAGAUUUCUUUAAAGCCCAACACGCUGUUGACGGCGGACUUUCGCCGAGUCUGAGCUUGUAUUCUCUUGUAAGGUCAAGGGUCUUCUAAUUGACCAGGCAGGGGAACUUAAGUCUCUAAUUUGAGGAGUAACUGCAGCAUGUGACUUCUUUGCAGGAAGUCCCGAGAGAGAAAAGCUAGGUAAAUCUUAGGAUGGUUUUCACAUGAAAAUGCAAAGAUUCCGAGUGUAUAAUGUUUUAAACAGAGGUGACCCAGGAAUUCACCUUGUCCUUUGGAGUCGAUUCUACACAUUUUACAGGGAGUGUCCUGUGGUAUUAGCAGGAGGAUUCCUUAGAGCUUGUAUAGGUUGAAUGCAGGUGAUGAGGAGGUAUGAUUUAUUAUUUAUUAUGAUUUAUUAACUUCACACUAACAUUCUUCUUAGAACUUUCCCAAAUAGCUAGUUUUGGAAAUCACGCGAUCUUUCUCAAAUAUAAAUAUUACUUAAUUAACCAAAUUAAAAACAUAUGUUUAUUAAAUCUGAGGUGGGGCUGAUGGAGGUGGGGGAGGGUAGUUGAAGGAUCAUCAGGGAUGGGAGAGGCACGCCAGAGGAGUGAAAACACAUUUUAUGUAUGGAUUAAAAUUCUGCAAAGAGACUGACGAGCAUAUGAUUUAAAAAUCUUAGAUUAUUUGAGCUAAUGACAUAACUGUGGGACUCUUUAGAGUGAAGUUACUAGCAAUCAGGAAAUAAAAACCAUAAUUGAAUUUAAUGUAUCUGCCAGACCAUAGAAUGUCUCGUUUCUCCUAGUUUCCCAUAUUCCUGCUUGGUUUGUUUUGUUCUGGCAGAUAUUGAAAACGGUGAUAUCUUCUGAACAAAUACUGAACAAAAGUAACUUAAAAUUUGUUUAUUUGUGACAGUGCCUUAUGUGACCCAACUGAAUCCAACUCAUUAAAAAAUUUGAUCCUCCUGCCCCUACCUUCCAGGGCAGAGAAGCACCCUAGGCCCAACAGAUGCCACAUAGAAUGCCAACUUAUAUUUACAUUUUUUUUUAUUUUUCUACUUUGAAUUAACACAAACCAAGUUUCAUACCUGAUUUCCCAUUUCAGAAAGAGGAUGCUACUGCAUUGGGUUAUUGCUUAAUCAUGUAUUAUCAUCUUCUCAAUAAUAUUCACAACAAACUCACAGACAACUGAGGUCACCCUGUAAGGUUGUAAAGAUGAUUUACAAUCAGGUGGAAAGGUAUAAUAUGAAGAUUCAAAGGCGAGGAGCUAGCAGGAGAGACAAGAAGAGGCCUUAUCCUAGCUGGUAAGGUCAUCUAUUAUAUUCAUUUAAAUGGGAGCAUUCCAUCUUAAAAUUAAAUAAAAUAUGAGAUAGGAAAUUAUAUAGGCACCUUGGUUUCAUUUCCUGUUUUUGGGAUAAAACAAAACAAAACAAAACAAAAAAAAAAAACGACAAAAGCAACUUCCAGCAGAAAGGGCUUAUUUGGCUCACAAUUGCAGGUUAUGCUCUGCCCAUCAUCAUGAGGGAUUCAAGGAGGGAUUCAAGCUAGCAGCAGGCAGCAUGUUACAUCCAUAAUCAAGAGCACAGGGCAGUGGAUUGAUGUGCACACGCCAGUAGAGCCCAGCACACCUUUUCUAUUUUUAUACAGUCCACAAUUCCCUAGAAAAUGUUUCCACCCACAAUGUGUGGGUCUUCUCACCUCAGUUAGCUUGGUCAAGACAAUUCCGUACAACAUGCCCCAAGUCAACCUGCUUUAGACAGUCCGCCAUUGAGACUCCCAUCCCUGGCAGAGGGGCUUAGGAGCUUUUCAUAUUUGUAAUUGCUGCAUUAUUGUCUUUUUUUAAAAGAACACUUAGGUAUAAUUUCUCAUAUCUUUCUUUUUUAUAGGUAUAAGAUUUCAGUAAAAGAAAGUCAACCUCAUCACAGAGUUUGGAUGCUGGUGGAUUACGUGCACAGAACAAUCUGUGUCAGCCUUUGUUGAUAUGUUCGGUAUGAUUGGUAUAAUUUAGGUGCUAAUAGAAUAAUUUAACAUAUAUCGAGAGUGUGCAAUAUUAAGUUAGGUAAGCAGACCCAGUUGUAUCCCAUCACUGUUGUAUGAUUAAUAAUUGGACCAGCAAUGAACUUUCUCUGAUUUUCUACGCACGUGGAGCUGCCAGAGACCAGUAACUGUUCCAUGAUUAUUAAUAAAACAAUUCUUCUCAAAAGCGAGUCUUCCCUGACUUUCCUUUCCCUCUCACUUGAGAUCUCUCUGGCAGGAAACAUGCCAUGAUAUAUCAAGCACUCAGCAGAAAUUCAUAGGAAACAUUACACAUUUACAACCCCCUUUUAUUCUGUAAAACUUCAUUUUAGUCAUGUAGGCAUUAUGUUAUACUCUGAUAUUUUAGCAGUAGUUGGCACAAUAUAUUACCAGAGAAAUAUGUUAGAAAGGGAAAAGGAACAAGGCUUUGGAUGAUUAAGUUAUAUUAACAGCUUUCUCAGGCUUUNNNNNNNNNNNNNNNNNNNNNNNNNNNNNNNNAAUAAAUAAAUAAAUACAUGUGAUUUGGAUGACAGUAGACUAAUACUACACAUAUAAGGAAUGUGUAAAUUAUUUGGUGUUUCUGAUUUUAGUUUUUGACCUAACAUGCACUAAUCAAAUUAGUAACUGAUUUUGUGAGGUCCUAGUUCAUAAGGGAUUUAAACCUUUCUCUUGGGAUGUUGACUGCUUCCAGAUUAUGCAACAAAACAAACUAAUUAAUUGGAUCUAUCCAUCCACCCAUCAAUUGAUCUGUGAUCUACUCCUUCAUCUAUGUUGGUUACAUUUUUGUCAACUUGACAGAAGCUAGAGUCAUCUAUGAAUUGGGAAUGACAGUUGGAGAACCGCACCCAUCAAAUUGGUCUGUAAACAAGUCUGCAGACCAUUUUCAUGAUUGGUGACUGAUGUGUGGCACUGUGGGAAGUGCCACCCACAGCAGUGAAGUGACCAUGCAGAUCAGAAUAACAAAAUGUCAUUCCUAUGAAGAGAUGUAGCAUAAGAGUGCUAUGGAACACCAGGUACAGAAGCCAAGGAGCAUUUUAGAAGCCUUCCACUGAUAGCAGAGAUGGAACCAUUUUACAGACAUUGCUCUGACUGAGAAAUUGUUAGUACAAUGCUCUGAGUUCUUCCUCAUUGAGGAGUAUCGGCUGGAUCGUCUCAUGAAUCAGGUGGACUUAUGUUGGAGGGUGACAUGGAGUAGGUUUGGGGGAAGGUUAGUAUAGUUCAUAUCACUUAUAGCCUGGAAGCAGUUUCAAUGACGAGGAACUAAUUUUUCACUUUCUGUCAACUGCUUUGUCCUGAAUGUGUAUAGAGCUUGAUGCUGGUCUCUACAUUAAAAGUUCUGUGUUAUGAAGAU